rnacentral:rRNA from 1 species
GAUGAACGCUGGCGGCGUGCCUAACACAUGCAAGUCGAACGAUGAAACCGCCCUCGGGCGGACAUGAAGUGGCGAACGGGUGAGUAACACGUGACCAACCUGCCCCUUGCUCCGGGACAACCUUGGGAAACCGAGGCUAAUACCGGAUACUCCUCGCCCCCCUCCUGGGGGGCCCGGGAAAGCCCAGACGGCAAGGGAUGGGGUCGCGGCCCAUUAGGUAGUAGGCGGGGUAACGGCCCACCUAGCCCGCGAUGGGUAGCCGGGUUGAGAGACCGACCGGCCACAUUGGGACUGAGAUACGGCCCAGACUCCUACGGGAGGCAGCAGUGGGGAAUUUUGCGCAAUGGGGGCAACCCUGACGCAGCAACGCCGCGUGCGGGACGACGGCCUUCGGGUUGUAAACCGCUUUCAGCAGGGAAGAACCUCUGACG